UUGCAUGUUACACUGUGCGACGCCCAAAACUUUGUCCACAUUCGGGGGCAAUGUCAAACGUGUUUAGGCAGCGUUGCAUGCGAGUGGGUGAAAUUUGCUAGUGAAAUUAAACUUUUUCCCAACUUGUUCUGGCCACUUUUCGAGAGUGUCCCUUUUCCAACGGCCUGGGCCAGAGUGUAAUCAGGUGCACGAACCAAAUGCGGGGCCAGAGUCAAUCAAGUGGUCAGAUUGCGUAGCCAACUAUCGACCCGAACCAAGUAACCUCACAUGGGACCAAAGGUCCUUCCGGCAAAUGGCAUUCAAGGAAGAUGGAAUGCGAGGGCCGAGAAAUCCGAGAAUCCGAGAGCCCGAGGCGUCAACUCAGACUCAGAGUCGGAAAACGAGAAUCUCGAAUCGUUUUUGCAUGUGACAAUCAUAUGCAGGAGCUGAGUAAUUCGCCAAUAUAUACAUGGGGCAUCAACGGAUAUUGUAUCUGUGGAGCGAAGCAUGUGCGGCACGAGUGUGUCGUCUAUUUCACAAUUUGCAUUUAAUAUCCUUGUGUGAAUAAUUUACAAAUGCAAUAAACGUAAAUGCGUUUGGAGGAAACGCACUCAGA